CUUGACUGUACAAAGGUAGCAUAAUCAUUAGUUUUUUAAUUGAAAGCUGGAAUGAAUGGCUGAAUAAGGAAAUAACUGUCUCAUUUAAAAUUAGUUAGAAUUUUAUUUUUGAGUUAAAAAGUUCAAAUUUUAUAGAAAGACGAGAAGACCCUAUAGAGUUUAAUAGGUUUAAUUUUUUUUUAUUUAAGGGUUUAAUUUUAAUUGAAGGUUUACUUAUUUUGUUGGGGUGACAAUUGAAUUUGAUGAACUUCUUAUAAUUAAAUCAUUGAUUUAUGAACAUAUGAUCCUGAUUUUUGGAUUUAAAGAUAAAAUUACCUUAGGGAUAACAGCGUAAUUUUUUUGGAGAGUUCUUAUCGAUAAGAAAGAUUGCGACCUCGAUGUUGGAUUAAAGUUUAAUUUUGGUGGAGAAGCUAGAAUAUUAAGACUGUUCGAC
rnacentral:rRNA from 1 species